rfam:Pan troglodytes isolate Yerkes chimp pedigree #C0471 (Clint) chromosome 7, whole genome shotgun sequence.
AUUCUUUUGUAGCUGAUAAGCAUGAUGACUGGAGCUUCGCGUGCAUGUGUGAGACAUACCUCCCUCCAACCUUGUUACACAUCUGCACAUUACCUGCCUGAUG